rfam:Helianthus annuus linkage group 2, whole genome shotgun sequence.
UGAAGUGAUGAAGUUUGCACUGGGCUCUGAGAGUAAUUGAUUAAUUGCUUGAUUUGAUGCAUAUUGCAGCCUAGAAAGCUAGUCUGAUCA